rnacentral:rRNA from 1 species
UUUAUUGAGAGUUUGAUCCUGGCUCAGGACGAACGCUGGCGGCGUGCCUAACACAUGCAAGUCGAGCGAGAAUUUAGUAAUUG